GCCUUGAUGGUAGUACUGGAGUUGGAAUACAGUUGGCUCUAGAAUUCAUAGUCAUAGAUCCUAGGGAUGGCCACGGUGCCGACCAUGACUGAGAUUCUCGAGGCCUGUCGACAAUGCUUAUGGCCAGCCCACUUCUUUCCUCAGGCGAGGAAACUCUACAUCAACCUACGAAAGUUGCUUGUGGGCACACUGUGAUGCGGAAUGAAGCAGGAGAGAACAAUCCUCUGAGAGAACCAGACCACACCCUCCAUGGUCUCCAUGACUUUGACCUCACUUAAGUCACUGAGGUCUGACUGGCCUGGAGGUUUAGAGAUUUGUGCCUCAUACUGGGCUUCCAUGAUGGAUACCGUCCAAGGAAUCAGCCACAUGAAUUCACUGAAGGGAGACUCAUCUAUGUGAGGCAGGAUCCCACCAAGGAAAAAGCAAACCUCUCCAGACAAUUCUCACAGACAGAACUGAAUACAGGAAGUUGUUUGUACUAGCGCUAGGACCACUGGGAAGUCAAGAGAGGUGAAGGAACAGCCAGGUGUGACCUUAAGCAAUGGGGGAGGCUGUCACCUCCCUGGAGACAAUUAUUGAAGGAGAAAUGGAAAGAGAAAAA